GUGAUUGUAGCUCAAUGAUAAAGUGUAAAUAUAGAUGCCCCUGAUAUUUCUAGUUAAAUACCAGUUUAAGGUAGAUAAGGCUGGGAGAGGGUUAUGCCCCAGUGAUGAAAGUACGGUAGACCUAGCAGCCUUACAGUGAUCUUAUACUAGAAUGUACGUAGCAUAAAAGCCCAUGUUUUCUUUGCCGGUAAUGUGAUAGGGGUUUAGUCCCGGGUAACAGGCAGGCGUUUUUUGGAGACAGAUUUUACGGGGGAACACAUGCAGAUCACCAUUGCCAGUGGCCUUCCGCCAUAGACUCUAGCUCGAUUCCAGGGUUACCUUGUGGUACAAAUGCCUCGCUGCUGUGACCAGUUCACAAAUGC